CCUACGGAUGGCUGCAGUGAGGAAUAUUGGUCAAUGGGCGUAAUCCUGAACCAGCCAAGUCGCGUGAGUGAUGAAGGUUAUAUGGAUCGUAAACCUCUUUUAUAAGGGCAUACAGUUCGGGACGUGUCCCGUUUUGUAUGUACCUUAUGAAUAAGGAUCGGCUAACUCCGUGCCAGCAGCCUCGGUAAUACGGAGUAUCCGAGCGUUCACCGGAUUUAUUGGGUUUAAGGGGUUCGUAGGCGGCCUUUUAAGUCAGCGGUGAAAGUCUGUGGCUCAACCAUAGAAAUGCCGUUGAAACUGGGAGGCUUGAGUAUGUUUGAGGCAGGCGGAAUGCGUGGUGUAGCGGUGAAAUGCUUAGAUAUCACGCAGAACCCCGAUUGCGAAGGCAGCCUGCCAAGCCAUGACUGACGCUGAUGCACGAAAGCGUGGGGAUCAAACAGGAUUAGAUACCCUGGUAGUC
rnacentral:rRNA from 1 species